UCUGUUAGAGAUUUGUCUUUUGAUAGUGUGAGUUUUAAAUUUUUCUGCAUAAUGGAUACUGAUAUGAUAGUGUGAGUUUUUGUGUUAAAUUUUCAGCAUAAUGGAUACUGAUAUGACAGUGAGUUUUGUGUACUGAUAUGGAUGGUGUCAAUUUGUGGUUAUAUUAUUUUUAUCAUAAUACUGAUAGUGUGGAUGUGUAUGAUGAU
rnacentral:lncRNA from 1 species